rnacentral:rRNA from 1 species
UUGAANUGGGCGCAGCCUGAUCCAGCAAUGCCGCGUGAGUGAUGAAGGCCUUCGGGUUGUAAAGCUCUUUCGGCGGGGAGGAUGAUGACGCUACCCGCAGAAGAAGCCCCGGCUAACUUCGUGCCAGCAGCCGCGGUAAUACGAAGGGGGCGAGCGUUGUUCGGAUUUACUGGGCGUAAAGGGCGCGUAGGCGGCGAUGUAAGUCAGGCGUGAAAGCCCCGGGCUCAACCUGGGAAUUGCGCUUGGGACUACGUUGCUGGAGUUCGGGAGAGGAGCGUGGAAUUCCCAGUGUAGAGGUGAAAUUCGUAGAUAUUGGGAAGAACACCGGUGGCGAAGGCGGCGCUCUGGACCGAUACUGACGCUGAGGCGCGAAAGCGUGGGGAGCAAACAGGAUUAGAUACCCUGGUAGUCCACGCUGUAAACGAUGUGUGCUAGACGUUGGGGAGCCUAGCUCUUCGGUGUCGCCGCUAACGCUGUAAGCACACCGCCUGGGGAGUACGGCCGCAAGGUUAAAACUUAAAGGAAUUGACGGA